CUGAAGAGGUUUAUUCCACUUCUCCCAAAGUCGAUCGUACAUGAUAGCCAGCCAUCUAUCCUUAACAAAGCCAUGCAGAUUAACCAAGUGGAAGCAAGAUUCUAACUGAAAAGCUGGUAGGACCUCGGUGGCGAGUGGUCAGGAUCAGGCCCAGCCUAGAAGACUCUCCAACACCUUGCACUGAAAGUUUCACUAGAGGCAAAUGCAUCUGUAUCCUGACAAUAGAUGAAAUCAAUCAAAUCAGAUGGGAGAAGCCUCCAGAACUCCGGAGGCUAUAAUUUUCAUGAGCUUUUAUAGAGGGAAGCGUCCGGCAACGUCAAUUUAAAAUGUAAAAAUCGACUCUGCGCUGGCACAUGAUCUUGGGUAAUCAUGUAGUCCCCACGGCCCUCGGUUUGGUGAGACGCUCUCUUACUCUACAGUCUGGGCUAUUCACGUGAUGACGCUGAGAAUUUUUAGCAUGGAAAUUUCUGUGUUCUCUGACCUAUGUUGCCGUCAGCCAUAUCCAAUGCAACAAAGUUUCAAGCAGGACAAAAAAGCCAAAUUGUUUUGGAAAGCUAGUGACUACUCCUUAAGUCUUAAUGUUUUGUGAAUUCAGAAUUGCUAUUGCAUUCUCACACAAUUAUGAGCACCCAUGGUUAUUUCUGACCACUGGAUUAUUAAUUUGCGUGGGCAACCAGACAAAUAUCACCUAUUCCUUCCCUGACAAGGUUCCCUGAACUGUCUAAUUAGUUUCAAGGAGAAAGAUACUCACUUGUACAAGCCAGCCCAUUAUUUUCCUAACAUCAAGGAGUAUCCUGUCUCGGCAAAUGUCAUCCCUGAAGCUAUGGAUUUGCUGGGCUGCCUCGCAAUCAGACAGUAACAUAAUUUGCUUCUACGUGAUAUUUUUGAGGCUCCAUUUUUUUUUAUUUCUUUCCCCCUAUUUUAAGAAUGCAAUGAAUUCAGGAGCUCAGUUUGGCUUCAAGGAUCGUUAGCUACUUCCUAACUGCCCCUCUAGGGAAAGAGGGAGGAAGGGGGGACCAAGGAGAUAGCAAAAAUCAAUAGAGUCUGCUUGAAUUCUCUGUCUCCCUCCAUCUGACGCCAAGAACCUAAGUGAAGUGUGCUCUCAGCGUAGGGGAAGCCAGCCUGAGUGCCAAUCAACCACAGGCAGGAGGCUAUGUUAGCCUGGACAGAGGC